ACAGUGUAUCUUUAAUGAGCGUAGUGGCAGUUGCAUUUUGAGAGUUUCUGUUUGUAUUUCCCGUUUCCCUCCCCUGCGUCCUCUGAUAACAGCUGACAGUAGAUUGACGUUUUCACAGCUCUGUGCCGGCUCCAAAAAACUGAAGAAACAUCAACAAUCCCAAAGCAAAAAUCUGUCUGUGUCGCCUGUGAUUCACACAAUCCUACGCCGUGUGUGCUCUGCACAUCUGCUCCGCUGAACGGUCCACAUACGCUACGCGUGCCGGGUAGCCAAAG